rnacentral:rRNA from 1 species
CCUACGGGAGACAGCAGUGGGGAAUAUUGCACAAUGGGCGAAAGCCUGAUGCAGCAACGCCGCGUGCGCGAUGAAGGCCUUCGGGUCGUAAAGCUCUGUCCUCAAGGGAGAUAAUGACGGUACUUGAGGAGGAAGCCCCGGCUAACUACGUGCCAGCAGCCGCGGUAAUACGUAGGGGGCUAGCGUUAUCCGGAAUUACUGGGCGUAAGGGGUGCGUAGGUGGUUUCUUAAGUCAGAGUUGAAAGGCUACGGCUCACCCGUAGUAAGCCUUUGAAACUGGGAAACUUGAGUGCAGGAGAGGAGAGUGGAAUUCGUAGUGUAGCGGUGAAAUGCGUAGAUAUUAGGAGGAACACCAGUUGCGAAGGCGGCUCUCUGGACUGUAACUGACACUGAGGCACGAAAGCGUGGGGAGCAAACAGGAUUAGAUACCCGAGUAGUC